UUGGCGGUGUGCACGCGCUUUCACGUUUCAGGUGUUUCUCAAGAUUAGCGCGUGCAUCCGAAGAAGAAGUAUGAAAAGUUUUGGAGGUUCUAUGAGAAGGUCUGGUCCAACAUACCCUUUAAAAUCAUCUCUAAUAAAACGAGGAUCAUGGUCCUGUGUCCUGCUUUGGCUCUAAAGACUUCAUCUGACUGAGCUGAACACGGUGGAGCAACAGGAGCCAAUUAAUCAUACCCGAAAUUAAUCAGACCUUAAUGGUUUAUGUUUUGAAAAACCUAAAAUGCACCACUGCAAACAAACAGGUGAAGUCAGGUACUGAUGUAGGUGAGGUGAGGAGGCCUGGGGGGUUGGGGGCUCAGCGUUCCAGUUUAUUCCAUAGAUGUUCAACAGGGUUAAGGUCAGAGUGUAUCCCAAUAUUUUGGCAAUAAGCACAUUUCUCCGGUUGGCUGUAUGGGGAGGCGGUCGCUCAGUGCAUUGGAUUGUGGAUCAGAAGUUGAAGCGAGAGAGCUGGACAGAACAGAUUCUGGUGCUACGAUCACCUGAAGUGCAUUUGUGCCUAAACGAUGAAAACAGACGUUGACCAGAGAGACUCAGCUGUCACCUUGAUCAGGAGGGAAAAAGAGGACAAAAACAAAAACAUCAAAGCCCUUUUUUAUAUAUGCAAGCACAUGGAUGGCUUGGCUUGGUCUGAUUCCACGUGCCGUCUUUGGAGCAGUAGAGUGUCCCCCGUCCUGGAGGGUCCAUGAUGUAACCAGGGUUACAGUGAUAACGAACCGUCUUAUUGAAGACAGGAGGUCUCGGUGCUAACCGGUGCAGUCCGGAGCUGAGCCAGUCCAUGUGCCGUUGGUGGUGCAGUGGCGAGUGGUGAGGCCUGUGGUCUUGUAGCCCUCCCAGCAGGCGUACGAGACCGAGCUGGAGAAGAGCAUUCCUUCACUGAAUACGAUCCUAGCGUAGGCUGGAGUUCCAGGAUUCCCACAAGACACAGCUGGGAAAGUCAAUGUGAAAACAGAGUAACUACUGUGUAAGUUUGUUUUUAAUGAGAAGAAACUCCCUGAGACGGCAUAAGGAAGAAACCUUGAGAGGAACCAGACUCAAGAGGGAACCUCAUCCUCGUCUAGGUUACAUAUACACCAGUAUCUAAAGUAUCUUAAUAAAGUUGAAAAUUGCCAA